UAAGCCUGUGAAGGUGUGUCGUGAGGCAUGCUGGAGGUAUCAGAAGUGCGAAUGCUGACAUAAGUAACGAUAAAGCGGGUGAAAAGCCCGCUCGCCGGAAGACCAAGGGUUCCUGUCCAACGUUAAUCGGGGCAGGGUGAGUCGACCCCUAAGGCGAGGCCGAAAGGCGUAGUCGAUGGGAAACGGGUUAAUAUUCCCGUACUUGGUGUUACUGCGAAGGGGGGACGGAGAAGGCUAUGUUGGCCGGGCGACGGUUGUCCCGGUUUAAGCGUGUAGGUGUGUGUUCCAGGUAAAUCCGGUUCACUUUAACACUGAGGCGUGACGACGAGGCACUACGGUGCUGAAGCAACAAAUGCCCUGCUUCCAGGAAAAGCCUCUAAGCAUCAGGUAACAUCAAAUCGUACCCCAAACCGACACAGGUGGUCAGGUAGAGAAUACCAAGGCGCUUGAGAGAACUCGGGUGAAGGAACUAGGCAAAAUGGUGCCGUAACUUCGGGAGAAGGCACGCUGACACGUAGGUGAAGUGAUUUACUCAUGGAGCUGAAGUCAGUCGAAGAUACCAGCUGGCUGCAACUGUUUAUUAAAAACACAGCACUGUGCAAACACGAAAGUGGACGUAUACGGUGUGACGCCUGCCCGGUGCCGGAAGGUUAAUUGAUGGGGUCAGCGCAAGCGAAGCUCCUGAUCGAAGCCCCGGUAAACGGCGGCCGUAACUAUAACGGUCCUAAGGUAGCGAAAUUCCUUGUCGGGUAAGUUCCGACCUGCACGAAUGGCGUAAUGAUGGCCAGGCUGUCUCCACCCGAGACUCAGUGAAAUUGAACUCGCUGUGAAGAUGCAGUGUACCCGCGGCAAGACGGAAAGACCCCGUGAACCUUUACUAUAGCUUGACACUGAACAUUGAGCCUUGAUGUGUAGGAUAGGUGGGAGGCUUUGAAGUGUGGACGCCAGUCUGCAUGGAGCCGACCUUGAAAUACCACCCUUUAAUGUUUGAUGUUCUAACGUGGACCCGUGAUCCGGGUUGCGGACAGUGUCUGGUGGGUAGUUUGACUGGGGCGGUCUCCUCCUAAAGAGUAACGGAGGAGCACGAAGGUUGGCUAAUCCUGGUCGGACAUCAGGAGGUUAGUGCAAUGGCAUAAGCCAGCUUGACUGCGAGCGUGACGGCGCGAGCAGGUGCGAAAGCAGGUCAUAGUGAUCCGGUGGUUCUGAAUGGAAGGGCCAUCGCUCAACGGAUAAAAGGUACUCCGGGGAUAACAGGCUGAUACCGCCCAAGAGUUCAUAUCGACGGCGGUGUUUGGCACCUCGAUGUCGGCUCAUCACAUCCUGGGGCUGAAGUAGGUCCCAAGGGUAUGGCUGUUCGCCAUUUAAAGUGGUACGCGAGCUGGGUUUAGAACGUCGUGAGACAGUUCGGUCCCUAUCUGCCGUGGGCGCUGGAGAACUGAGGGGGGCUGCUCCUAGUACGAGAGGACCGGAGUGGACGCAUCACUGGUGUUCGGGUUGUCAUGCCAAUGGCACUGCCCGGUAGCUAAAUGCGGAAGAGAUAAGUGCUGAAAGCAUCUAAGCACGAAACUUGCCCCGAGAUGAGUUCUCCCUG
rnacentral:rRNA from 1 species